GGAAGAGUGUCCGAGUGGUUUAAGGAACCGGUCUUGAAAACCGGCGAGGGUGCAAGCUCUCCGUGGGUUCGAAUCCCACCUCUUCCG
rfam:Sphingomonadales bacterium RIFCSPHIGHO2_01_FTLL_65_20 rifcsphigho2_01_scaffold_63, whole genome shotgun sequence.